AUUGAACGCUGGCGGCAUGCCUUACACAUGCAAGUCGAACGGCAGCACGGGCUUCGGUCUGGUGGCGAGUGGCGAACGGGUGAGUAAUAUAUCGGAACGUACCUUUCAGUGGGGGAUAACGUAGCGAAAGUUACGCUAAUACCGCAUAUUCUGUGAGCAGGAAAGCAGGGGAUCUUAGGAGCUUGCGUUGAUUGAGCGGCCGAUAUCAGAUUAGCUAGUUGGUGAGGUAAAGGCUCACCAAGGCGACGAUCUGUAGCGGGUCCGAGAGGAUGAUCCGCCACACUGGAACUGAGACACGGUCCAGACUCCUACGGGAGGCAGCAGUGGGGAAUUUUGGACAAUGGGGGCAACCCUGAUCCAGCCAUGCCGCGUGAGUGAAGAAGGCCUUCGGGUUGUAAAGCUCUUUCGGCCGGGAAGAAAUCGCGCAGGCUAAUAUCCUGUGUGGAUGACGGUACCGGAAUAAGAAGCACCGGCUAACUACGUGCCAGCCGCCGCGGUUAAUAC
rnacentral:rRNA from 1 species